UGUGCUGGCUCUAGGACAGAGGCAAUUGUCACCUAGGGUCUGAGGUGGACGGUCACCUGUGCACUAUGGAUAUGAGAGAAGGAAACAUCGGGACGCGAAGGAAUGGUCAGGGCCUCCUUGUUUAGUCCAGAGCUGUGCCAUGGCGGAAGCUAGGGAAGAGGAAACUGUGUCAGCAGAAGCCUCGGGGUUCUCAGACUUGAGUGACUCAGAGUUCCUAGAGUUUCUGGACCUGGAAGAUGAUGAAAAAUUAUGUGCUUCACUUAGCAAGCCCGGUUCUUCCUCUGAACUCCCUGAGAAGGAUGAUAAGCCUCUAAGCUUACAGAACUGGAAAAGAGAAUUGGAUGUCUUAUCACCCAUGGAGAGAUUUCACCUAAAAUAUUUAUAUGUCACUGACCUGACUACUCAGAGCUGGUGUGAAUUGCAAAUGGCAUAUGAGAAGGAGCUUCCUGGUGAUUUGAAACCAGAGAAGGCAGCUGUUUUGAACACUGGUGCUAGCAUCCACCUGGCUAGAGAACUAGAACUUCAUGAUCUUGUGACUAUCUCUGUCACCACUAAAGAAGAUGCUUGGGCAGUUAAGUUUCUGAACAUACUAUCAAUGAUUCCUACCCUGCAGUCAGAAGGGCGCAUCAGAGAAUUUCCAGUGUUUGGGGAAGUGGAAGGUAUGUUUCUUGUUGGAGUGAUUGAUGAGCUGCACUAUACAGCCAAAGGAGAAUUAGAACUGACAGAACUCAAGACACGCAGGCGCCCUAUGCUCCCUCUGGCAGCCCAGAAAAAGAAAGACUGUUUUCAAGUCAGUCUAUACAAAUGUAUCUUUGAUGCCAUGGUGCAAGGGAAAGUGACUCCAGCAAGCCUAAUCCAGCACACUAAAUUGUGUCCAGACAAGCCACUGGGUCCUUCAGUGCUGAGGCAUGCCCAGCAGGGAGGCUUUUCUGUGAAGUCUUUGGGUGACCUCUUGGAGCUAGUCUUCUUAUCUCUCACACUAUCUGACCUCCCAGUUAUUGAUAUCCUGAAGAUUGAGUAUAUUCAUCAAGAAACUGCCACUGUGCUGGGUACAGAUACUGUAGCCUUUGAAGAAAAAGAAGUGAGAGGCAAAGUUCAGCACUACAUGGCUUAUUGGAUGGGACACCGAGAGCCUCAAGGGGUUGAUGUAGAAGAGGCUUGGAAAUGUCGGACAUGCAACUAUAAAAACAUUUGUGAGUGGAGGAGGAGUGGUGGAGUGCUCAGCUCUGCACUGGGGCCCCAACACAAAAAAGCCAGAUGAACUCAAGCUCUGCUUUCAGCGAUGUCCGUCAUCCUCUUCUAAUGUAUCUGAGUAGUGGGCCACUCUCUGACCUGCUUUUGAGGAUAUUAAUUUUUUUAUAUUUCUGCAACUUUUGAUCAUAUUCAAAUCUAGGACUGAGGCUCAAGGAUGAGUAGGAGAGAUUUGAGGUACACUGUUCCUCGAGCUUUGAUAUGUAUUUCUAAGAUUCUCAUCAUGUCUGGAAGAAAGGUAUCCUGUAGCAAUUGUUUUCCUAAGAAAAAAAUUUCAGUUUCUAAUAAAUCUUCCUUUUGCUCAGUGAAAUUCUUUGUUUUUCAAGUACUUUCUAUAUUUCUAUGUUUUACAUAAAAUGUAAUGCUAUCUAGGAGAGUUGAACUAAUAGUUUUAUUUUGUUUUCAUAACCUCAGCCCUUCAAUGAUGCCCACUGUAUAAUUGUAGCCUAUUACAAACCCUUAAAUUCAUACAUAAAUAUUUUGGAAUAGAGUUGAUAGAAGAGCAAAUCAAGAAUUUAAGCAGAAUAUUUUCUUU